ACACUGGUUGAUCCUGCCAGAGGCUACUGCUAUCAGAGUUCGAUUAAGCCAUGUUAGUCGAGGGUGCUUCUUCUUCUUCGGAAGGAGCGGUAACCCGGCAGACGGCUCAGUAACACGUGGAUAACUUAUCCUUUGGUCCGGGAUAACCCCUGGGAAACUGGGGACAAUACCGGAUAGAGCAUUGAUCGCUGGAAUGCAUGAUGCUCGAAAGCUCCGGCGCCAAAGGCUAGGUCUGCGGCCGAUUAGGUUGUUGUUGAUGUAAUGGAUCAACAAGCCUCCGAUCGGUAUGGGUUGUGAGAGCAAUAGCCCAGAGAUGGGUUCUGAGAAAAGAACCCAGGUCCUACGGGACGCAUCAGGCGCGAAAACUUUACA
rnacentral:rRNA from 1 species